rnacentral:lncRNA from 1 species
AAGAUGGCGGACGAGCAGCUGCAGCAGCUCCGUGCGGUGCUACAGGGGGAGGGGAAGGUGGUUUCUCCUGACACAAGCUGGAGGCCGGAGCCUGUGGCACCCUGGCUUGCCUCACUGAAGCUGGUGGCUGUGACAGGGACUGCACGGCUGCUGGAGUGGUAGAAAGGCAGCCCAGGAGCCGCAGCCCCAGUGGGCCCAACGGUUCCUGUGGGUGGGGAGCCAGCCACCUUGGAGUCUCCAGUUCACUGAAACCUGUCACUGCCACCCAGUGGCCACCAUGACAAGGAAGCCAUCAUUCUGUAGAAGGCAGUGACGGAACAGUACCAGCAGAAAUUGAAGGACCAGCAGAAGGGAUCAUGGCCAAAGUUGCAGUGUCCCCCCGCUCGUUGAAGAUGAGGAGUUCUCAGAGAGCGGGAUGUUUGUGACAUUCCUCAUGUCAGCUCUCGAGUCCAUGACUCUCACUCGGUCGUCCAGGCUGGAGUGCAGUGGCACCAUCUUGGCUCAUUGCAACAUCUGGCUCCCAGGUUCAAUCGAUUCUUCUGCCUCAGCCUUCUGAGUAGCUGGAAUUAACAGGUGUAUGCCAACUUAUCUGGCUAAUUUUGUUGUGUAUUUUUCUUUCAGUACAGACUGGGUUUCACCAUGUUGGCCAUGCUGGUCUUGAGCUCCUCACCUCAGGUGAUCCACAUGCCUCAGCCUCCUAAAGUGCUGGGAUUAUAGGCGUCAGCCACCGCUUCUGGCCUAGAUCAUUAACAUAUCACUAUGAUACUAAAAUUCCCUCUGCCAAAGAAAAUCUUGCCAUUUUGUGACAUGAGUUGUAUAAAGAUGUAUGUUUAUAUGCACUGAACCUGUGCACCUAGAGUUCCACCCUGCUCAUGCUAACGUUGUUCUCCCUCCCCGUACCUAGUUCUUAAAAACUCCAUGCCUUCCAUUUUUCAGGGAAAGGGUGUCUUUAGAGCAAGAACUCUUUUCUUCUCCAUCCCAGGCAGGGAAAAAACCCACUUGGCCUUGUUUCUGAUUGGGUUUUCUUGCUUUGCGACUAAUACAAAGCAGGAAAAAACUCCCUUUAUCAGUGAUAAAAACAAGUAAGAUUAUUAUUUACCCACCUAUUCUAGCUAGGGGUCAUGGGUGGCCGGAGUCUCUCCUAGCAACUCAGGGCGCUAGGCAGAACCAGCCCUGGAUCUGGAAUAGGGUGCCAUCAUAUGGCAGAGUGUACAUACACACACACACACACACACACACACACACACACACAGAGCUCAAAUGGGGACUAUUUAGAAAUGAUAGUUCACAUAAUGGGCACAUCUUUGAGAUGUGGGAGGAAACUGGGAGUACCCAGUGAAAACCCAUGUGGACCUGGGGAGAAUGUGUAAAGGACACACAGGAAGUGGCCAGCUGGGAGUUGAUUGUUUUUUCUUAUCAACAUUACAAUGAAAUGAUACUGAACGAAAUGACAUUAUUCAAGUACCUGCUGUAAUAGUCAGACUCCUUCAUAUAAAAUUCAAAGCCCUCUACACUCGGGCACUACAUUGGACUUCCAUCCUACACCUACAUUCUAGCCACUGUACUACACAUCAUUUACCAAAGGCGCUGUAUACUUCUGUGCUACCAAACAUUUGCCAGUCUGGUUCCCUCUGCAUUUCAAGAUUACACACCCCUCAUAAUCCUGCAAAGCCUUUCGUAUCAAUUUUUCUGUGAAGCUUUUCAGAAUCCACCACCACUCCCACCAUCACCCCAACUCCCUGAGAGGGCAGAUCUCUCUCUCCGUUUGGCAGCCACUUUUAAUAAAGCAUUUUUCACUGAUACUAUGAGUCUGCCUUCUCCUUUGGGAAACUUUCUCAGACUCCCAUACCCAGAGUUAGGCACUCCAUAUUUGCCCACCUUGGUCCCUGGUAUGUAAUUCUACUCCAGCAUAGAACAGAGAAGCCAGAAUCAUCUUUCUGUAAAAUUCUAUCUUCUGUUAGACCCUGUGUCCCUUGAGGAUAUCAUUCAUCAUUGUUUCCCCAGGGCCUUGCACACCUUACUCUGGGCCUCCAGCUUAGCCUGUUUCUAUGCAGGCUGCCCAUGGCUGAUGCCAACCAGUCCUGUCCCUCUAUAUCCAAGCACCAGACUUCCUUACUGAUCCUUUGCAAUUUCAGACCCUCCAUCACCCUCCUGUAUCCUGCUGGAGAUUUUGGAGCAUCUCAGCAUCUCUGGGGCAGCUCGCGGACAUCAGGGAGGGGCAGGCAACAAAGCCCACGUAGACCCUUACAGGUAUCUCAGGAUCUCCGAAUGGGAUCCUCUUUUCCCCAGCCCAUUCCUUAAAACUCUGCUGACUUCCCUACUUCUUCCUCCAGCUCAGCACUUAGCUGGAGUUGCCCCAAAGGUGAUCACAGAGGAAUUUUCACAAGGGACUGUCCCAGACUGUCCUGAGAUGAAGGGGGUUAGGAUUCCAAAGAAGUAAACUCUAAACCCUGGUAUGAUGAGCCCAAAGCAUUUCUUAAGGGAUGUACACACAGUGAGGGCUGCAGCUCAUCUUAUUGGGAGGAAAGGAGACCAAGGAUGCUUUGUCUAGGUAUCUUUGCAGUGAGGAGUCUGGUUAUGCAGUUUAUAGGAGCGUUUAAGGAAUCUCCCAGGACCAGGGAUACUUUCUUUUAGUGUUUUGAAUUACAACCUAAACACAACACCUUUACUUAUGUCUGCGAAUGUUCAGAGCCCUGGCUUGGGUUCAAGUCUGCAGGGGAAAGCAUGCAGGUAUCCGGGCCACAGAAUAACAGAGAAGUCAAGCGUCUGUGUAUUCUUGGUCAGAACAGAUGGAAAAUGUGAAGAAACUGCGGAAUUGUACUCUAUCCUUUCUAGUAAGACUUGCUAUUAGGAAGUAUAAGUCAUUUGAUUCUGUUUUUCUUUUUAAAAAUUGUUUUGUGCAAUUUGAUUUUCUGUACAUACAUAUUGAUUUAAGGGAGUGAGAGACUUUCUAAUUUCUAAAAAAAUACACUUGGAAAUUUGAAGGGAUUAUAUUGAAUCUGCAAAUCAAUUUAUAGGGUAUUGUUAUCCUAAGAAUAAUAAGUAUUUAAAAAAUUAUUGUAGGUAUACGUAUGUAUGGGGUAUAUGGGAUGUUUUGAUAUAGGCAUACAAUGCAUAAUAAUCACUCAUAUCCUGGAGGGUAGGGUAUCCAUCCCCUCAAACAUGUAACCUUUGCCUUACAAACAGUCCAUCCUUGAACAUAAAAUGACUUCCAGUUAUUUUUCAGUUUAUCUUUGAUUUCUUUCAGUGUUACAAAUUGUGUAAAAUUCCUGUAUCUGUCUUGAAUUUUUUUCUCUUAAUGUUUUUUAUUGAUGCCAUUAUAAGUGGAAUUGUUUUCUUUAUUUUAUUUUUAAUUGUUGGUUGCUUUUAUAUAAACCAUAAUCUACUUUGGCAUGCCAGUUUUCUGUCUUGUAACACGG